rnacentral:rRNA from 1 species
GCUCAUUUAAGACUUAACCGAAUGAUUACCCAACAGGUAAAAUGAGCUUUUGUUUCCUCUCAUCGAGAUAGAGGUAGGCAAAAGAGGGAUUUUCGUCGUUUAUGGAUCACUCGGAUAAACGGAGCAACGCGGCUUGCAAUUGCUCAGGAUACCAUCUUUUAG